rnacentral:rRNA from 1 species
CCUACGGGUGGCAGCAGUGGGGAAUAUUGGGCAAUGGGCGCAAGCCUGACCCAGCAACGCCGCGUGAAGGAAGAAGGCUUUCGGGUUGUAAACUUCUUUUAUCAGGGACGAAACACAUGACGGUACCUGAUGACUAAGCCACGGCUAACUACGUGCCAGCAGCCGCGGUAAUACGUAGGUGGCAAGCGUUAUCCGGAUUUACUGGGUGUAAAGGGCGUGUAGGCGGGCUUGCAAGUCAGAUGUGAAAUUCCAGGGCUCAACCCUGGAACUGCAUUUGAAACUGUAGGUCUUGAGUGCGGGAGAGGCAAUCGGAAUUCCGGGUGUAGCGGUGAAAUGCGUAGAUAUACGGAGGAACACCAGUGGCGAAGGCGGAUUGCUGGACAGUAACUGACGCUGAGGCGCGAAAGCGUGGGGAGCAAACAGGAUUAGAUACCCCGGUAGUC